UGCGUCCUUCUUACCAGUUGGA
rnacentral:misc_RNA from 1 species